rnacentral:lncRNA from 1 species
CCGGUAGAUUUUGCCUGGAGUUAGAAACAUAUCUGCCAACUUUUCAAAAUGCACAUGGGGGUUUUACGUGAAAGAUGGUUCAUAUAGUCAUACAAAACCUUCAAGGGGCCUUCAAAUGGAAGCAGGACAAGUCGCCCCACUGGCUAAUCGCCCACUUUUAAAAAAAACGCCACAAACUGAUUUAUCAAAUCGCCCCACAUGUGAAAUUGGUUAAAUCAUGUUAAAUAUUACUCCUGCCAACCCGCCCUACUUAUAAAAAAAACGGUAAUAUUUAGAUUAAUAUAUAUAUAUAUAUAUAUAAUUAAAAAUAAAAAACUCGCACCACUUUAAUGAAAACUAAUCUACACAGAAUACAAAC